GACGAACGCUGGCGGCGUGCCUAACACAUGCAAGUCAAGGGCUACCCUCGGGUAGCACUGGCGCACGGGUGAGUAACGCGUGGGUAAUCUGCCCCUAUCUCUGACAUAACAUCGAGAAAUCGGUGCUAAUAUCAGAUGAGGCCCGCAAGGGUCAAAGACCGCGAGGUUGGAUAGGGAUGAGCCUGCGUCCGAUUAGCUAGUUGGUAGGGUAAUGGCCUACCAAGGCGACGAUCGGUAGCUGGUCUGAGAGGAUGGUCAGCCACACUGGAACUGAGACACGGUCCAGACUCCUACGGGAGGCAGCAGUGAGGAAUAUUGCGCAAUGGGCGAAAGCCUGACGCAGCGACGCCGCGUGUGGGAUGAAGGAGCUUUGCUUCGUAAACCACUGUCGGACGGGAAGAAAAAGUUCCUACGGGGGCUUGGGACAGUACCGUCAGAGGAAGCACCGGCUAACUACGUGCCAGCAGCCGCGGUAAUACGUAGGGUGCGAGCGUUGUCCGGAAUUACUGGGUGUAAAGGGUGCGUAGGCGGGCAUGUGCGUCGGAGGUUAAAUACAGCGGCUUAACCGUUGAACUGCCUUCGAAACGGCAUGUCUUGAAUGUGGGAGAGGAUGAUGGAAUUCCUGGUGUAGCGGUGAAAUGCGUAGAUAUCAGGAGGAACACCGGUGGCGAAGGCGGUCAUCUGGCCCACUAUUGACGCUGAGGCACGAAAGCGUGGGGAGCAAACAGGAUUAGAUACCCUGGUAGUCCACGCCCUAAACGAUGUAUGCUUGGUGUUGGUUGCGAAAGCAAUCAGUGCCGGAGGUAACCCGUUAAGCAUACCACCUGGGGAGUACGAUCGCAAGGUUGA
rnacentral:rRNA from 1 species